rnacentral:rRNA from 1 species
AUUGAACGCUGGCGGCAUGCUUCACACAUGCAAGUCAAACGGUAACAGGCCGCAAGGUGCUGACGAGUGGCGAACGGGUGAGUAAUGCAUCGGAACGUGCCCAGUCGUGGGGGAUAACGCAGCGAAAGCUGCGCUAAUACCGCAUACGAUCUAUGGAUGAAAGCGGGGGACCGUAAGGCCUCGCGCGAUUGGAGCGGCCGAUGUCAGAUUAGGUAGUUGGUGGGGUAAAGGCUCACCAAGCCAACGAUCUGUAGCUGGUCUGAGAGGACGACCAGCCACACUGGGACUGAGACACGGCCCAGACUCCUACGGGAGGCAGCAGUGGGGAAUUUUGGACAAUGGGCGCAAGCCUGAUCCAGCAAUGCCGCGUGCAGGAAGAAGGCCUUCGGGUUGUAAACUGCUUUUGUACGGAACGAAACGGCUCUGGUUAAUACCUGGGGCUAAUGACGGUACCGUAAGAAUAAGCACCGGCUAACUACGUGCCAGCCGCCGCGGUAAGAC